rnacentral:tRNA from 1 species
UCCCUGGUGGUCCAGUGGUUAGGACUCCAAGCUUUCACUGCUGAGGGCCCCUGGUUCAAUCCCCGGUCAGGGAA